AGAGUUUGAUCCGGCUCAGGACGAACGCUGGCGGCGCGCCUAACACAUGCAAGUCGAACGAGCGAGAGAGAGCUUGCUUUCUCGAGCGAGUGGCGAACGGGUGAGUAACGCGUGAGGAACCUGCCUCAAAGAGGGGGACAACAGUUGGAAACGACUGCUAAUACCGCAUAAGCCCACGACCCGGCAUCGGGUUGAGGGAAAAGGAGCAAUCCGCUUUGAGAUGGCCUCGCGUCCGAUUAGCUAGUUGGUGAGGUAACGGCCCACCAAGGCGACGAUCAGUAGCCGGACUGAGAGGUUGAACGGCCACAUUGGGACUGAGACACGGCCCAG
rnacentral:rRNA from 1 species